GGGGCUGAACGGUUUCGACUGCGUACGUUGAGUCAGGGGAAGCGUGUCGGUGCAGGCAAGAGACCACCGUAAGCGUCGAUGCAACCAAUUAAGCGCCGAUUCCAAUCAGCGCGACUACGCUCUCGCUGCCUAAGUAGCGAAGCGUGUCUGUCAGUCCGAUCUCGCCCUCGGGUCGGGUACUGGCAUCAGCUAGAGGGCUUCACCGCACGGCUCGGUCACGGAGUCGGACGGGACAUCAAACAGUGACUGGGAUCGUCAUCACGGCUUGUUCGCGAGACCGGGAGAUCCAAGUAGAGGCAUAGCGAACUGCACACGGAGAAGCCCAGGCGAAGCUGCGUAGGACCCGGGUUCAAUUCCCGGCAGCUCCACGA
rfam:Rhodococcus sp. RD6.2 genome assembly, contig: RHCRD62_Contig_3